rnacentral:rRNA from 1 species
GAUGAACGCUGGCGGCAGGCUUAACACAUGCCAGUCGAACGGAAAGGCCCUGCUUGUGUGGGGUGCUCGAGUGGGGAACGGGUGAGUAACAGGUGAGUAUCCUGACCUUGACUUUGGGAUAACUUCAGGAAACUGGGGCUAAGACCGGAUAGGAGCUCCUGCUGCGGGGUGGGGGUUGGAAAGUUUAGGCGGUUGGGGAUGGACUCGCGGCUUAUCAGCUUGUUGGUGGGGUAGUGGCUUACCAAGGCAUUGACGGGUAGCCGGCCCGUGAGGGUGACCGGCCACAUUGGGACUGCGAUACGGCCCAGAGUCGUACGGGAGACAGCAGUGGGGAAUAUUGCCCAAUGGGGCGAAGUGUGAUGCAGCAACGCCGCGUUAGGGAUGACGGCCUUCGGGUUGUAAACCGCAUUCGGCUGUGACGAAGCUUGAGUGACGGUAAUGAAUAAAGAAGCACCGGCUAACUACGUG